GCGGUGAGUCCACACCCCUGCCCCGCCUCCUCCGCUAGGAAACUCCGGGACCCUGCGAGGAGGAGUGAUUCACCCGUGAUUCAACCGCUCCAGCCGCGCCGAGCUCCGAGGGGCCCUCGGUCGCUGGAGGCCCCAGCCCUGGGGAAUGGAGCACCGACCUCAUCGAAUAAUGUCUUAAUCAGUUGUUUGUGGAAGAUUUCUGAAAUCCUGGAAUGGCUGUAAAAAAUGAAAAGUGAAGAAGCAAGAAGUGAAAAGUAACAGGUGACAUUACUUUCAAGAGUCUGUUUUUCCAGUCCUGAUGAAGACUCUCCUCCCUGUUGUGAAGGAAGACCCAUGUCCUAAUGUCUGGAUUCCAUGAGCCCUGAGGCAAGUCUUGUCUCCAUCCAUCACUGACAGGACUGAACUCUGGCUCAAGGAAUGUGCUCCAGCAGGCCAAUGUGCUCAGCAGGCAGUGGAGCCCAGAGAUAGCCGGAGAAAAAGGAAGAGCUAUUACCAAAAACCUUUGACUUCAUUUGAAAAAUGUGGUCCUAACUUAAAACAGACUCAUAAUCUAUUGGAGAAAGACAAAGUUGACCAUAUGACAAUCAAAUACAAAUAUGGACACUGCUUUAGUCACUCAGAGGAGAAGUGGCCUGCUCCCCUGGUGAGCUGGGGAAACUUCCCAAAGGAGGUGCUGUGGAGGCAGACUUUGAAGAGCACCAUGUGAGGGCCUUGGCUCCUGCUAGUCCCAUUCCUGAAACUGACGCUGGCCCCAGGAUUUCUAGACCAUCUCAGACCACCUUAGUUCCCGCGUCUCCCCUUCCCCCCAUACAUACUACCACUAUUUCUCUGUUUUCUUCUUUGCACUUACCAUUAUAUAAACUUCUAUUUGUUGAUUUGUUCAGUUUCUGUCUUAUUCCUCCAGAUCAAGAACAUUGCUCUGUGAGAACAGAACCUGAUCUUUGUUGUGCAUUAGUCUAUACACAGUGCUUAGAGAAGUAUCUGAGACACACCAGGAUUCCAGUAAGUGCUUGUGGUGAACCAAUGGGCUCAGUUGCAGUAAGGAACCAUCAGAACUUCUUGACGGUCAGGUGACGUGAUGAAAUUGUUCUGGACAAAUUGUUUUAGCAGCAGCAGGGGUUAAGAUGAAUUGUGUGGGACACAAACUUGGAGCAAGAAGAACAAAGAAUUCUGGAAUAAGAUAAAUGUGAGUGUUACAGGUAAAAUACAGGUUGUG